GGGAACUGAAGCUGGAAAUACACCCUUUUGUUUCAGUCAUUUCACAGCUUAGCUUUCUAAAUGUCUCUUUGUUUAUCAAGUCUUUAGGGUGGAGUAAGCUCUGUGCACUUACAAAUUGCUAAAGCAGUGUUCCAUGUCAUGAAUGGGACCGACUCGGUCUUCUCUGUUGUUUUUCAUAUACAAAUCGGACAGAAUCCGUUCGCGUUUUGCUCCUUGAGCUCUGUCGGCAUUGUGUCUACAGAUGUGUCUGUGUGUGGACGUGUGCCUGGGCACUCCCGGCGGCUGCUGGGCCAGCAGCUGCGAGCAGUUGUGAGCGUGGCUCGCCUACUUGGAGACCGCUUGUGUUUGAGGGAAAACUCAGCCUUUACCGCUGAGCUCCACCGGAGCCGUGAGGAGACGCUCUCCUCCAUGACGAGCGCGGCGAUGGAAGCCGCAUUUCGCACCCCUGCUUUGACCACAAGCAGACGGCCCCCUCCACCCUCCCCAGGACUCGAGGGCGAGCUGUGCGCGUCCCUGGGGGCCGGGGGCUGCCCCCCGGUGUCCCCUCACACCCACCCCUCAACCCCCGCUCCGCCCGCGCCCUCCUGCCGCGGGGGGCCGCUGUGCGCGGCGGGGCGGCGCCGCCGAAGGUUGCGGCCGUUGCCUAGCGAGGCGCUGUCACCAGCAGCGCGGGCGGCCCAGGCGCGGCCCGCCGGCCCCUCAGCCCGCCCGGAGGCUGCCUCCCGCCGCCCGGAGCAGGAUUUCAGGCUCUUGCAAAGCCUCCUUGACUGAGAAUCAGCAAGAGAAGAGCAGAAGAUGUGUUUGGGAUCCGGCAGCAUUUGAUACCCAUCGAGGCUUUGGAGUGUUUCUGGUAGACAUUUGUAAAGAAAUCCUAUUCGAUGCUUCUUCUUGUGCUUCAGAAUUAAUCCGUGGGGGGCAGUAUAAGGAGCCAUGGUUGCUGAAAUAUAUAACUAAUAAAAAAUAGUUCCAUAUGGGCAUAAAGAGACGGAUUAAAAUCAGAGGAAUGCUUGGUGUGUAGUAAUCACAACUAUUUAAAAUCAUACCCCCCAUGUAAGCAACACGACAGCUUUCUGUGCUUCUGAAAUUCUAAAUACUUGGCCCUUGUAAGCAGAAGAUGGCUUUCAAGCACGUGUGUGUCUAUAGGUAUUAAUUCCGGAUAAAAAGGUUUUUUUGAAUAAUUUCUGUUGCCUAUGCAUCGGUACUGUAGCAGUGAGAAAAUAAGGUUCAUUGUAAGUCUAUGCUUUAUCAAGAGUUCAUUAACAAGAUCUUACAAUAUUGUUGCUUCAUCCGGCAGUAUAACGUCCAAACAGAAAGUCUGACCACUUUCAGACCAAAGGUUAAGUCUGCUAGCUUAGAAGGUAAUAGAAGCAAAAUUAGUUUCUGCACUGGUUUAACAGUUGUUAACAUAUCUGCUUUUUUAUCACAGUUCCUUUCCAGGGUGUAAUGUUGCUUAUGUGCAUCACUCUUCAUGCUGAUAAAUAUUUUAAAUUACAAACAAACUUUGAUUAUCAUACUUAUCCACUUAUCCAAAGCAUAGAGAAGCAUAACUAGAAACAUGGGAAAAUGAUAUGCAUAAAAGCAACAGACAAAUGCAGCAAGCAUAAUUUAGGUGAUUUAAAAUGUAAGGAUUUGGACCUAAGAAAUAUUCUGCCAAAAGUCUGUAAAAGUUGGUUUUAUUAUUUACUGAACUAUAAAAUACAAAGUUUAGAAAUGUAAAUUUUGCACAGUGCAGAUGACACACGAUGUGAAAGUAAGCAAGUCACUAUCACAUUCCUUCAGAGACUGAUGACGUCUAGUUGCAUGAUAAAUGUGCCUUAGGGAGGCUGUGGUAAGCUCUCAUAGGACUAACAUGAAGAUCAGUGUUUGCCUUGUGGCAAGCAGGUGUUGGAAUAAUUCGUUAAGUUUUCCUUUAAGAGCACUGUGUAAAAACAAUAAGGCUAUGCAAAGGAAUAGUAAAUGUUGUGAAAUAAAAGGAAGCUGAUUAUGCUAGGUGAAAGGCCACAAUCUCCUUUAAGCACCUGCAAGAACAACUGCAAAAAUGCUGAUGUUUAUAAAGUAGCCUGCUGGGACUAUAAUGAAGAUGUCAAAACCUCAGGCGGGCAGCCUUUCUUUAGUCCCCUUAAACCAUCUGUGGAUAAUGUGUGGAGGGGGGGAUGAUCUCACAAACCAUGUAAUCACAAAUUUCGUGUCUUUUAGUCUCUUAAAACAAAUAUAAAAACAAAGAUCAAAGCCACCAUCUAGACUGUGCUGAUUGACUUUUUGAAGAACAGCCCAAAGCUAGCAUAAGCAAGCAUUCAGAGUUCUAAACAAUCAGUAUCAAAAAAGACUAAACAAGAACAUGUUUAUCUACCAAAUAUCUUCUUGUAUCCUUUUUCUGUUUAAAUCUUCAGCCAGCUGGACAUUCAAUUUAUUGAAAGCAUGCCUUCAUUUACUAAGAACAUGAGUAUAUUCUUAUGGAUAUGAAAAUAUAUAUUUAUAGACAAAGUAGAGAGAAAAUACAUAUUAAGCUGUACAUAAAAUGAGGCAAAUGGCUGAGAAAAUAUGUACUCAGGCAAUGCAUCAGCUGGUUAUCUUUAUUUUUUCUUUUUUUUCUUUCUUUUUUUUUUUUUUAAAUGGGAAGUUUUUAUUACAACUUAUUACAUAGCUUGUAAAGUAAUGUAAAAUCUCUGAUGUAAAGUCUUAUAUUUCAUAUUGAAAUGCAAAGAACCUGGAAUUAAAACUACCACUUAAAGAUGAUAUUUUUAUGGAAACUUGAAUCCUAUCACUGUUUUUGAUUCGAAGUGUUCUGAAUCAUUAUUUCUCAUAAUUACAUGCAAAUUAACAUCUCAUAUGAACACAUGGAUUUCUAUUUUAUUUCAUUAAGAGACAGAAAAUAGCAAUCACAAACAAAAAGUAACUGAACUCUUUCCAAAGUCUGAAAGUCUACAGACAAAAUUUGCUUUGGUCUUUCAAUAACCCAAGCACUUGCCCAAAUUUUUAAUCUUUCUGGAUCCUGCUUCUCUGCAAGUCUUCCAAUGUUUUUGCUAGACAUAGCCUGAUUUCAUAUGGCAAUAAAUAUUUAAAACAAGAACAGACCCAAAAGCACAGAUUUCCUGCAACAGACACCGAGAUUUAACUCUGAGUUUUUCACUAAUCCAGGAGCUCCAAUCGUCAAAAAUAAUUUACAGCCUUUUUUGUCUUGGUCCCUCAUUAGCUAUGCUAAAUGUCCUUGGCAUCAAGAAAUGAAGUAGCCAUUUGCUCACUGUAGUAUCCUUUGAAUGGCUGUAAACCAGUAACAUCAGGAAAGGUACUGCUUUGCCUCAUUAGAUUUAUUGAACUAGCAGGGAACCAUUCUGUUGCAUGACUGAAGUCACUAUUUGACUAAGUAAACAUUUAAUGUAUUUUAACUAAUGUUUCAUGCCUACUCACAGCUUACAACUAUUGCAACUAUAUAUUUCAGCCAUUUUCCUUUUUUUUCCAUAACUGCCUCUGAUUUUCUUCAGUCUAAACAAGACAAACUAUAAAAAGGUCUUGCUCUGCCAAACUGCCAACCUGCAUUGGUAAUUUACAUAUUAAUAAUUACAUACAUAAAAGAGUAAAGCAUUACUUAGCACAAUUCAUUAACAAAAAGCAGUUUGCAUGUUGCCAGAGUUGAACAUCACACAAGAAUUGCAAGACCUGUCGCCUUUACAUUAAUAUGCAAUGCAGGACUUCAGCAGGUGCUCUACCUCCUGAAAUCAUUUUCAUGAACAAUUCGUCAUGAAAAGUAUUCUGAUGGAAAUAUAAUUUGCAAUAGAGACCAGUGAAAAAAUCAGAUGUUGUCUCUGGCAACUGUACCAAAAUUUCCAGUCACUUGUAUGGGUCAAAAAAAAAAUUAAAUCCAGUUCCAUACCCUCACGUCAAAUAAAAAGAUAAACUUAUUAAGUACUGUCCAUAAGGAUAUGAGUGUUUUUAUCUGCUUUUCAUGAAAAACAAAGAAAGAAAAACACACGCACCCUAUCCCAAAGUAUCACCUCUCCUAAGGCUUGAAAUUUGCUUUUAAUUGAAGUUUUAACACAUCUGUGCUCCAUUCCUACCUCAUCUCUGUGUGCCAAUGGUGUCCAUACAGAAAUACAUACUUCAUAAGAGAAAAAGAAAGAUGAUGACAGUUCCCUUGAUCAAUUUUUAGCAGGCUCCUCUAGGCAGCUGUAGCUUUAAUCCCAGAGUCAGAAAUUAAGACUAAAUCUGUGAAGAAGUGCAUUAAACAAAUUUCACCCACUAUGAGGGUGGUGAGGCAGUGGUACAGGCUGCCCAGAGGAGCUGUGGGUGCCCCAUCCCUGGAAGUGCCCAAGGCCAGGCUGGAUGGGACUUUGAGCAACCUGGUCUGGUGGGAGGUAUCCCUGCCCAUGGCAGAAGGGGUGGAACCAGGUGGUUUUAAGGGCCCUUCCAAUGCAAACCAUUCUGUGAUUCUAUGAAUUGUUGGAACUGUACUGUAGCAUUCCAGCCAAGCUUUGUGUACUGGGUACACAUGGUAAGGGUUUGGCUGCAGGGGUGAGCAGAGCCCAGCAGCUGCCUCAUGUCAGAGCAGAGCUAGCUCCGGCCGGCUCCAAAAGGUUCUGGCUGCUGGCCAGAGCUGAGCCAGAAAGUUUAAAUCACGAAUUUAAACUUUCCACUUACCACAGCAAACUUCUAUGUAUGUCACCUCUUGGUUGCUUAGAUCUCUUCCUGAUGCACAGUAGCGCAAGGCUCAAUUUUAAAAAGUCCCUUAUUAGGAAACCAGGAUGAAUGUGACAAGGAGGGAACAGUUUAUCACUUCAUUCUUUCUCUAACUAUCUCCCAUUCUUCACUUCUAGGGCAGGACGCUCAAUUCACUAUAAGCAGUAAAAAAAAAAAAAAAAAAAAAAGGCAACAGGCUGUAGCCACCAGGAAAAAAACAGCUAUGAUGGAAAGCCUUCAAGGUAAAUCAUUAGCUCCUAGACCUUUUUAAGUCCAGUCAACUGAUCUCGUCAUAAAAUGAAGAUGAAAGACAUGGUCAAUACAAAUUCAGAAAAUGGUAGAACAAUCUGUUUCUUCAGACACAGAACAUCUGCAUCCAGCUAGUUUGCAAGUAAUCCGAUGUGCACAGGAGGAUCAGGUGGAGCAGUCAGUUUACUGCAAUACCACUUUUCUCAACUUAUAACUUUGUAAGUGCCUUGUUUUAUCUCUGCUUGUCAAGCCUUUUGUACCAGGUAUGUUUUUGUACCGUGCCUUCUGCCUAUUCAGGAGAAAGCAGAAUGAUAAGGACAAUAUGCUUGCUUGCCUACUGCAUGCUACAGUAGACAAAUCAUGGAAACCUUAAACAUGGAAGUUAAAAUUUUCAUGAACGUCUUAAAAACAAUAAUAGGAAACUUCUUUAAUAGUUGCUAUGAUCAAUCUAAGCACAACUUUUAAUUUCCAGACCACUUGUUUUCAAUUUUUCAUUUCUAGACUAUGUCUUUCUAACUGUGGGAUGGGAAGUGGACAAUAAAAUUAAAAAGAAUCAUGGAUGGAUUGAAGAUAAAUUAAUACUGAUGAAGAUAUAUUUGUAUUAACAGGCUAUGAGCUGUGUCUAUUUUCAGAUUAAAGUUUGCUAUAAAAAUACGAAGCCAGCAUAAGUUUAAAGCCUUCAAAUAUAUUUUGGGUAUUUGCAUAAUUACACUUGCAAAUUAAAAUUCCACUAUUAAAUACAUAUAUAUACAAGCACACCUUUUUAUUACUUUUUUUUUUUUUAAUGGAUUGGCACUGGACAUUUUCUGUAACAAAUCUUUAAAUGACGUUUAGAUGUAGAGCUUAGUGAUAUGGUUUAGUGGAGGACUUGUUAGUGUUAGGUCAGAGGUUGGAAUAGGUGAUACUGGAGUCCUCUUCCAACCUAGAUGAUUCUGUGAUUUUGUAAAAUAUGAAUGACCGUGAUUUUACCACACUUAUUACAAACAAUUAAAUAUCAUGCCAAGUUUAUUACAUCAAGGCACAUAUCUUUGUUGAAGAAGAUAACCACAAUGCAAUUUUAACAUUUAAAUGAUAGUACCCAGCACCUCAAUUAACCUAGUGCUCAUGGCACUGAAAGGAAAAAAAAAAGACAAAGAACUCCAUAUGCAUCUGCACAUUUCUUAGCAAACAGCAAAUUAAUUCUGAGUGAGCAGUUUUGAAGUUAGAUACAUCAUGCAUUUGUGUCUCUUGGUAAGAAGUCAGUUUCUCUCGUAUGCACGGUUGAGCUACAAAAUAAGGAAUUACCAAGCACCUGACCUGUUGUAUGUCCACACAGAUAUGGAAAUCAAGCUGAAUUGUUUGCAGUUUCUAUCUUUUCUAGAAACCCUAACAGAACGCAAUGAGGAUAACACAGGUUUAAUUCCUAUUUUCCAGACAAAUGGCAGUCCUCCCUCUAACAUAGUCUAUACUUACGGGUUUAGCUUUAGACAAGUGUACUUCAGAGAACUGAAAGGAUUGGCCAUCUUAAUGGUAACAAAGGAAUUUCUCAGAAUUACUGACCACAGAGAUUCAUAGGAGCAAAGAGUAAGAAAAGAUUUUGUAAAGGUUUGUGUACUCUAGGAGACCACAAUCUCUUUGUCCCCUCCCCCCCCCCACCGCUAUAGCCAGAAUUGCAAAUGGCUCUGUAAAUGUUAUGGAGAGCUUUUCUGAAAUCAAUUCUAAUAGCUUUGAAUAUAACUAUAAUCAGAUUUUGUUUAAAGCUCUUGAUAUGUUCUUUGCACAGGAUGGCUAUCGGGCACAUAUAAUUGAACAUUAUAUAAUAAAGAAAAAAUACAUUGGCUUUUUGUUCUAGGCACUAGUUUCCAUGGACUACUUCUCAUUGUAUAUUACCAUUUUCAUAAAAGCAGCUCCAAACAGUUGCAAAGACUUAUAUAUGUAGUCAUUUUUUUGCAACGCCCACAAGCUUUAACAUUUCAGUUGUUCAGAAUCUUACUGGCCUAUGCCCCUUUCCCCAACAAAGGAAAUAAGGGCACAAAAAUAAUUUCUCUUCUUGUUUUCUAAUGUCUUAGAACAACACAUAUUCUACCUACACCUGAAGAGGCAACAAGUCACCAAAUUUCAGGAAGCAUAAAGCAUUUAAGCAGGGAAGUCAUGCAUACACUAUUUGGCAUGUGUGAAAACCAUUCAAUUUCAAACAUUCUUAUCUGUAUGGAGAAUUUAGGCACUUCAGCAAUUCCAUGCAAAUGGUCCAAUACUGCUUUCACCAUGUUCUCUCUUAAAUAAUGUUAACCUCAUUCAUCUCCAGAAUCACAAAAUUGGUGCAGUUUACUAAAAUUUUGAAUGAAUUCUCCACCUAUUUCCAACACUUGCUUGGAAACAGAGCUGAGAGUGACACCUUACCAAAUAUGUUUCAUUUAGAAAAGAUUAGAAGACAAAACGUAAGUUUACUGCAAGGAAGUACAUAAAUUUUAAAUUAGUUAGAAAUAUUAGUACACACAAAAAGCAAUAUACUAUUUUGAAUAAAUUCCUGGUGCAUUACUAAGUAACUUUAGGUAAAAUAAUGUUUAUCUAAGAGAAACACGGAAUUGCUUUACAGGCAAGGAGUAACCUAAAGAGGGGAGGCUUAGUUUAGAUAUAAAGAAGAAAUUAUUUGCUCUGAGGGUGGAGAGGUACAGCAACAGGUUGCCCAGAGAAGCUGUGGAUGCACUUACCCACAGAGAAGAUGUGGAACACUUCCCCACCCCUGGAAGUAUUCAAGGCCAGGCUGGAUGGGUCCUUGGGCAACCUGGUCCUUGGGCACCAGGGAGGUGUCCCUGCCCUUGUCAGGGGGCUUGGAACUCAAUUAUCUUUAAGGUACCUUCCAAACCAAACCAUUCUAUGAUUCUGGGAUUCUCACAUCCUCUUUCCUUACUACCCUUUUGGAAGUCAGUACUCUUCAGACAGCUGCAGGCCCUCUUUCAACUUACAUUUCUGGGAACAAAAACAAAUUUUCAUGUUGAAUUUAUGUCUCACUUUUGAGUAUUUGGGCUCCUCAGUGUUGUAUUUGUAAAUAUUUCAUUUCUCUGAGUUUGCCCUUUAAAAACCAAGGGCAUUAAAGAUCUCUUCCUGUUUACCCAUUUAAGUUAAAGCAAAUCAAUGAAGAAUCAUAGGAUCUAAAGUUCUUUUGUUUUUUCCUAAAUUUUUUCUUAAUCCUCAAUAUCAGAUUUGUCAUGGCAAAGAAAUCAAUGAAGAUACUGGUUGAAUGUCAGUACCUAGGCUCUUGGAUUAUUACUACCAUUUUUUUCCCCAUAAUCCAUAUUUAGAAAGCUAAAAUGUCAUAUAUGACUAGAGUGAACACUCCUAUCUACUUUUUUCCCUUUAAUACUGUUAGAGAGAUCUACAGUUUCCAAAAACUACCUCAUCAGAAAUUCCUUAGUAUCUCUUCCAGACUUCACUGACUCAAGAAACAAUGUUAUUGACCACACAUCUUAGCUUCCUUUCUAUUUUCUCUGAACAUCAUCUUAAUUUUUGUAAUUACUUUCGUUAGUUAACCUAUAGAGCUGGGGUUCAAGCAGAUCAAGUUCCUAUGUCUAGACAUAUGUUCCUAUGUCUAUGAGACUUCCCCCAUUCCACACGAACACCUCUAUAGUGGCAUGCUGACCACAACUAAUUAAUAAUCAAAUCCAUUCUUCAAUGGAGUUACAUAUCUGGUUAUCCCUAUUAUCAGUAUUUAUAUCUUCCUUUUUCCCUUGCCACUUCUCCUAUUACUCUUUUGCUAUUUUUACUACAUUUGCCAUUUUCUUUUUUUAAUUCUUCUUAAGUACUAAGUUAGUUUAAAAGAAUUCAUUACUUCUUCCGAAGUCUCAUUUUUGACACUUUCUUUUACUAUUUUUCCACUCUCAAUUUGAAGAUUACACUAUUGCAGUGGAAUCUAUCCAUCAUGAAGAGCUUGAUUUCGUUGAAUGUUACCUUGUAGUCAGGUAUUCUAAAUGAAUCUUGAAGUGAUUUUUGUUUCUUUUUUAACUUUUAUUUAUUUAUUUAUUUAUUAAGGGGAUUAAAAUAAUUUCACCCAUAUAGCCCCAGCACCUUUCCUAAUCUUGGGCAAUUACUCGUUAGAGCAAAUAAUUGUCAUUUGUUCCAAGUACCAGUCUUUGCUAGUAGUGACAUUGUUACCAGCUUACCGUCCCCCUCCAUACUAGACACCCAAAAUUUUCUUUUUAAGUGAAAGAAUGUCCUUCUAGAGAAUGGAAGUUUUUACCCUGACAUCUUUUAAGGCACUGAUCCUUUAUUUCCGUCUUACUAUUCUAAUCUUACUAAUUACUAUUUAACCCCCAAACUACUCUUUCCCAUUAUGUUUUUGUUUGUUUGUUUGUUUUUUAACAUAAUUUGCAAAUUGCUUUCAGCAAGACAUUAAAGAUAAUGUUAUUUCAUUAAUUUAAAAUUAGUCAAGGUGAUUCUCAUGAUAUUUUCUGUUGUUCUUAUGCACAAAUUGCAAAACACAACUUUUAUUAGCCUCACACUGAAUUACUUAAUUACAGGAUGAAAUCAUAUUCAGUAAUAACAACUAAAGCACUUAGCCGUGUUCAAGAAUGAAGUGAAAAUCAUUUAGAUUCUUGCAAGUGGGUUCUCAGAGUUCCAAUACAUUUUUAAAGAUACUUUUAUAUCACAUAAAAUGCAUUCUUUUAUAUGAUAGGACAAUCCAUAACAGAAGAAAAUGAAGAUCUUCAUCCACUACAGCACUCUUUACUCUGAAAGAGAAUGUCAUGCUAUAACCAUUACAAAGAAUUUCAUUAUUCUCUCAACCACAGCAGCCACCCAGUGGCUACUCUUUUUAAUACUCAGACACGCAUAAAACCAGGAAUUUAGGAGAUGGUCAGAACUUGCAAUUUUCAGUGAUAGCCUCUUGCAUUAAAUAUUCCUUUUAUGUGAAAGAGGAAAUAAAGCCAUCAACAUUUUUUCUUUGGAAGCAGACUCUACACAAACAUUCAGAAGAAGAGGAAGAAGAAAAAAACAAAGAUAUGGAUGUAAAUGUUGUGAGGCUCUUUUGUCAUUACUGUUUAUAUAUAUAUAUAUAUAAACAUAUAUAUAAACAUAUAUAGUGUCUGUUUGCUUUUCUUUAAAUAAGAGACUGUUAAUAAGAAGA